rnacentral:piRNA from 2 species
UCCAGAGGUCCUGAGUUCAAUUCCCAGC